CCGAGUUUACAACUCCCAAACCCCUGUGAACAUAUCCAAACCGUUUCUUCGGCGGGUCGACCCGGGCGCCGCGUGCCCCGGACCAAGUCGCCCGCCGGGGACCACAGACCCAUCAUCAGCGUAUCUUCUGAGUGGCUUAAAGCAAACAAUCA
rnacentral:misc_RNA from 1 species